AGAGUUUGAUCCUGGCUCAGGAUGAACGCUGGCGGCGUGCUUAACACAUGCAAGUCGAACGAAGCACCUUGAUUUGAUUCUUCGGAUGAAGAUCCUGGUGACUGAGUGGCGGACGGGUGAGUAACGCGUGGGUAACCUGCCUCAUACAGGGGGAUAACAGUUAGAAAUGACUGCUAAUACCGCAUAAGACCACAGCACCGCAUGGUGCAGGGGUAAAAACUCCGGUGGUAUGAGAUGGACCCGCGUCUGAUUAGGUAGUUGGUGGGGUAACGGCCUACCAAGCCGACGAUCAGUAGCCGACCUGAGAGGGUGACCGGCCACAUUGGGACUGAGACACGGCCCAAACUCCUACGGGAGGCAGCAGUGGGGAAUAUUGCACAAUGGGGGAAACCCUGAUGCAGCGACGCCGCGUGGGCGAUGAAGUAUUUCGGUAUGUAAAGCUCUAUCAGCAGGGAAGAAAAUGACGGUACCUGACUAAGAAGCACCGGCUAAAUACGUGCCAGCAGCCGCGGUAAUACGUAUGGUGCAAGCGUUAUCCGGAUUUACUGGGUGUAAAGGGAGCGUAGACGGAGUGGCAAGUCUGAUGUGAAAACCCGGGGCUCAACCCCGGGACUGCAUUGGAAACUGUCAAUCUGGAGUACCGGAGAGGUAAGCGGAAUUCCUAGUGUAGCGGUGAAAUGCGUAGAUAUUAGGAGGAACACCAGUGGCGAAGGCGGCUUACUGGACGGUAACUGACGUUGAGGCUCGAAAGCGUGGGGAGCAAACAGGAUUAGAUACCCUGGUAGUCCACGCCGUAAACGAUGACUACUAGGUGUCGGGCAGCAAAGCUGUUCGGUGCCGCAGCAAACGCAAUAAGUAGUCCACCUGGGGAGUACGUUCGCAAGAAUGAAACUCAAAGGAAUUGACGGGGUCCCGCACAAGCGGUGGAGCAUGUGGUUUAAUUCGAAGCAACGCGAAGAACCUUACCUGCUCUUGACAUCUCCCUGACCGGCAAGUAAUGUUGCCUUUCCUUCGGGACAGGGAUGACAGGUGGUGCAUGGUCGUCGUCAGCUCGUGUCGUGAGAUGUUGGGUUAAGUCCCGCAACGAGCGCAACCCCUAUCUUUAGUAGCCAGCGGUUUGGCCGGGCACUCUAGAGAGACUGCCAGGGAUAACCUGGAGGAAGGUGGGGAUGACGUCAAAUCAUCAUGCCCCUUAUGAGCAGGGCUACACACGUGCUACAAUGGCGUAAACAAAGGGAGGCAGAACCGCGAGGUCGAGCAAAUCCCAAAAUAACGUCUCAGUUCGGAUUGUAGUCUGCAACUCGACUACAUGAAGCUGGAAUCGCUAGUAAUCGCGAAUCAGAAUGUCGCGGUGAAUACGUUCCCGGGUCUUGUACACACCGCCCGUCACACCAUGGGAGUCAGUAACGCCCGAAGUCAGUGACCCAACCGUAAGGAGGGAGCUGCCGAAGGUGGGACCGAUAACUGGGGUGAAGUCGUAACAAGGUA
rnacentral:rRNA from 1 species